AUUCAGCUGACGAGUCUCAAAUAGGACGAAACUCGCGUCCUGGAU
rfam:Schistosoma curassoni strain Dakar, Senegal genome assembly, scaffold: SCTD_scaffold0004617